UACGAAGGGGGCGAGCGUUGUUCGGAUUUACUGGGCGUAAAGGGUUCGUAGGUGGCGCACUAAGUCAGACGUGAAAUCCCUCAGCUUAACUGGGGAACUGCGUCUGAGACUGGUGGGCUUGAGUGCAGGAGAGGAACGCGGAAUUCCAGGUGUAGCGGUGAAAUGCGUAGAUAUCUGGAGGAACACCGGUGGCGAAGGCGGCGUUCUGGACUGCAACUGACACUGAGGAACGAAAGCCAGGGGAGCAAACGGG
rnacentral:rRNA from 1 species